rnacentral:tRNA from 1 species
GGAUUGUGGCUCAGCGGUAGAGCGCUCACCUAGCAAAGGCAGGACCUGGGUUCGAUCCUCAGCACCA